GAUGAACGCUGGCGGCGUGCCUAAUACAUGCAAGUCGAGCGAACGGACGAGAGGCUUGCUUCUCUGAUGUUAGCGGCGGACGGGUGAGUAACACGUGGAUAACCUACCUAUAAGACUGGGAUAACUUCGGGAAACCGGAGCUAAUACCGGAUAAUAUUUUGAACCGCAUGGUUCAAAAGUGAAAGACGGUCUUGCUGUCACUUAUAGAUGGAUCCGCGCUGCAUUAGCUAGUUGGUAAGGUAACGGCUUACCAAGGCAACGAUGCAUAGCCGACCUGAGGGGGUGAUCGGCCACACUGGAACUGAGACACGGUCCAGACUCCUACGGGAGGCAGCAGUAGGGAAUCUUCCGCAAUGGGCGAAAGCCUGACGGAGCAACGCCGCGUGAGUGAUGAAGGUCUUCGGAUCGUAAAACUCUGUUAUUAGGGAAGAACAUAUGUGUAAGUAACUGUGCACAUCUUGACGGUACCUAAUCAGAAAGCCACGGCUAACUACGUG
rnacentral:rRNA from 1 species